rnacentral:rRNA from 1 species
GACGAACGCUGGCGGCGUGCCUAAUACAUGCAAGUCGAACGAGUGGCGGACGGGUGAGUAAUGUCUGGGAAACUGCCUGAUGGAGGGGGAUAACUACUGGAAACGGUAGCUAAUACCGCAUACCAUCAGAUGUGCCCAGAUGGGAUUAGCUAGUAGGUGGGGUAAUGGCUCACCUAGGCGACGAUCCCUGGCUGGUCUGAGAGGAGGGCCGGCAACACUGGAAUCGGGACAGGGUCCAGACCCCUACGGUAGGCAGCAGGGGGAAAUAUUGCACAAGGGGCGAAAGCCUGAUGCGGCCAUGCCUGUGAGGUGAAGAUGGCCUUCGGGUUGUAAAGCACUUUCAGCGAGAAGACGUUACUCGCAGAAGAAGCACCGGAUAACUCGGUGCCAGCAGCCGCGGUAAUU